UAGCAAAACAUUUCAGAGUUGGUUACAUAGUGUUUUUUUAUUAUUUUAUUUUACCUUUAUUUAGGAUGUGGCUUGGAAACAUGUUAACAUUUAAAAAGAAGGCAGGUAAUUAGUAGGAAACAUUUUUUUUAUGAUUGUGAUGUCACCAGAUUGACUUUAGAUGCAGUCUAACUUUAGCCAGCUAACUAAGAUUGAGAGGACCACUGUAUUUUAGUGUAACGGCGUCACCAGCCUGAAUCCAAUCUGGAGCAAGUAAAGUCUACAUCUGUAAAGCAUAGAAUGGCCAGGACCUACCAGAAGGCGCAAAGCUUGUCAGGCAAGACAUCAGAAUAAAUGUGUGUCAUGCGACACAAGUACCCUUGUGACACCUCCUUCGUUGUUGCCAGUCUCGACUUCUAUGAAAAGGACACGCAAUCAUGAGGACUCUGAUGGUGAUCCGAGUUACUGCCCUGAUAAAAACAGACUGCUUCAUCAACAACGACAGGCCCUCCCAGUCAACACCACUUCAUAAGAUUGCCUGCUGCAGUUUCUCCAGUUUGCAGCUGAACAUGCAGCAUAGAGAAGACCAGCAAGGGGGCCCUCAUCAGCAUCAUGCAGACAUGGCCUCGCUGUGAGCAUUCCUAUGAAUGGAAAUGUCAGCAACAUGCUGGCAAGUAUCUGGCCAGCAAACUUCACCUGUCAGCGGCAACAGCUUUCACAAGGCUCAUAAUUUGUACAAAUACAGAAGGUAACCCACUUCAUUACUUGAAACCAAAAUAUAACUUUUUGGUAAAAACUCAACUCG